AUUACAUUAAUGUAUAGAUAUUAUGAAGACAAAACUAAAAUAAAAGAGUUAGUAAGGCUGAAAUUGUAAUUUGUUUAUUGUUUUGAAAUAUAUUUGUAUAAUUAAAUAUAUAAUGUUAUGUAAAUUAAAUUGUUUAUUUAUUUAGUAUUAGUAGUAUAGAAAUGAUGUUGUAAUUAUGUACUGUAAAGGAAUAAAGUUUAUAAUUUUAAUUUAGUAGAAGUUAAUUUUCGUACCUUUUGUAUAAUGGGUUGAUGAUUGUUAUCAUUUUAUUAUGUAUUCUCGAAGUGUAAGGAUUUACUUAGGAAGUGUAUGUUAACGUUGUAUAGUUAUAUACUGAUUUUUAAGUGGUAAUGAUAUGUUUAUCGUUUUUCAUGAUAGCUAGUUUAUUGGCGUAGGAUAUUUAAGUAUCAUAGUAUUAAUAUAGCUUAUAGUUGUUUUAAUAUUAGUUUAUUGCAUGGGGGAUAAGCUUCAUGUAAUAAUAUAGAAUAUAGUAAGUAAGUUUUAUUAGGUUGUAAUUUAAGUAGAAUUAAUAAUGUUUUUCUUUAAAAGUAGUUUAAAUUAUAGUAAAAAUUAUUUAUUUUCAUGUUUAAGUAGUUGAUAAAUAUUUAUAAAUUUAUAUAUAAAUAAAUAUAAUGUUAAUAUGAGUAUUGGUUAAAUAAAUUGGUUAAAACAAUUUAAAGUGUUGUAAUUGAAAUUGGUUUUUAUUGAAAUAAAAUUAAAUGAAGUGAAGGAAUUCGGCAAAUAUUAAUCUCGCCUGUUUAUCAAAAACAUGUCUCUUUGUAAAAUGUAAAUAAAGAGUUGGGCCUGCUCGGUGAAUAAGUUUUAACAGCUGCGGUAUUUUAACUGUACUAAGGUAGCAUAAUAAUUUGCCUUAUAAUUUGAGGCUAGAAUGAAUGGUUUGACGAAGGUUAAGCUGUCUCCACUUUAUUUUUUAGAAUUUAAUUUUUAUAGUGAAAAAGCUUAAAUUUUUUAAAGGGACGAGAAGACCCUAAUGAGCUUAUAAUUUUAUUAUUGUGAUUUAAUAUAUUUAAAUGAUAAUAUAUAAAUUUUAAUUGGGGUGAUUAAGGAAUAAUUUAUAAGUAGUAACUUCCUUAGAUUAAAUAUAUAUUGAUUAAGUAACCAAUAAAUAUAUUGCUUAUAAUAUAGUUACCAUAGGGAUAACAGCGUAAUUUGUUUAGAGAGUUCUUAUUGAAAAACAAGAUUGCGACCUCGAUGUUGGAUUAAAGUAACCUUAAGGUGCAGAAGCUUUAUUAGGUAAAUCUGUUCGAUUUUUAAUACUUUACAUGAUCUGAGUUCAGACCGGCGUGAGCCAGGUUGGUUUCUAUCUUUUAAAAUGAGUUUUGCUUCUUUUAGUACGAGAGGACCAAGGAAAGCUAAAAAUUUAUUAUUAUAAU
rnacentral:rRNA from 1 species